rnacentral:rRNA from 1 species
CAGUAGCCACGGUAAUACGGAGGAUCCAAGCGUUAUCCGGAAUCAUUGGGUUUAAAGGGUCCGUAGGCGGUCUUGUAAGUCAGUGGUGAAAGCCCAUCGCUCAACGGUGGAACGGCCAUUGAUACUGCAGGACUUGAAUUAUUGGGAAGUAACUAGAAUAUGUAGUGUAGCGGUGAAAUGCUUAGAGAUUACAUGGAAUACCAAUUGCGAAGGCAGGUUACUACCAAUUGAUUGACGCUGAUGGACGAAAGCGUGGGUAGCGAACAGGAUUAGAUACCCGCUAGUCCCUGUCUCUUAUACA